GGUCAACAUGAGAAGAUCAAAUAAGAACUAUUUGAUAAUGCACGUUAUUUACAAAAGCCCCAUACCUGGAGUAAUUGGGUAAUACUCGUCAAUGUUGUGACUCGGUGCGGGAACGAUUUCUGGGAUGGAUUCGUCGACAUUUAUACCCUCAUUAUGGCCUGUAACACGGUAGUUAUAUGCAAUGUUGUGUUUACACCAGAAUGAAGGUCAACAAGACGGGGUAGAGGUAAACCUGGACUUCCUUGGGGAUGUAGAUCAACAAGAGGGGGUAGAGGUACAUCCGAUGCCUUUCUCUGUUCCGGUGCCUUGCUAUUUGAAUUUCCCAUACUUACCUUUUGUUCUGAUGAGUGACCUAUCACAAAUGUAGGCCAACAUGAGAAGCUAGAGUAGAGGUCCAUUUCAAAGUAAACUUACAGGAGGACAAAGCUACCAACUGCUUACAGGAAAAGCUUGAACCUGGUCGAGCUGGGGACAUUGAUAAAGAAAAGGUGUAAUUUAGCUUUGCGUAAAAUUCAGAGAAGUUGCAUAUGUAUAAAUUGUAUGAUUCACAAGUCCGAAAACCUUCAAGUGUCUUAUUGAAUGUGCUGCCGGCGGAAGCAUAAAAAAUCAUCAUACGUACGGGAAGGUACUGCUCCAUCGGAGUUCUGUACGUAUGUGCGUUGGGCCCUGUUGAAUGGACGAAGGGUUUAGGGUUUAGGCGAACCUGAUUUAGGCGGAACCUGAUCGG
rnacentral:lncRNA from 1 species